GAAUCUUCUUUAGUUACCAUUAGAGGUCCAGCUGAGGCAUCAGUUGAUGCGGUUCAUGCUAUAUUGAAAGAGCUGGUUCACAAGGCUAUCAGUGAGACUCCAGAGUUAAAGCAAUAUCCUGCGCUCAGAGUAGAGGUUGGAAAUGCUGCUAUUGAGUCACUUGACAAGAUGAAGGAGGAAAGCAGGAAAGCUACACUUAAGCUAGUUGAUAUGGAGUGCAGCUACCUGACAGUUGAUUUCUUCAGGAAGCUUCCUCC
rnacentral:misc_RNA from 1 species